GCAAGUCUGGUGCCAGCAGCCGCGGUAAUUCCAGCUCCAAUAGCGUAUAUUAAAGUUGUUGCAGUUAAAAAGCUCGUAGUUGGACCUUGGACCUGGACAGGCGGUCCGCCUCACGGCGAGUACUGUCUUGCUGGGUCUUUCCUCUUGGUGAUCUGUUGUUUCGGCAGCAGGGAACCAGGACCUUUACUUUGAAAAAAUUAGAGUGUUCAAAGCAGGCUCGACGCCGGAAUAUAUUAGCAUGGAAUAAUAAAAUAGGACGUGCGGUUCUAUUUUGUUGGUUUUUGGGAUCGCCGUAAUGAUUAAUAGGGACAGUCGGGGGCAUUAGUACUCACAUGCUAGAGGUGAAAUUCUUGGAUUUUGUGAAGACUAACUUCUGCGAAAGCAUUUGCCAA
rnacentral:rRNA from 1 species